GGACUACAGGGGUUUCUAAUCCCGUUCGCUCCCCUGGCUUUCGCGCCUCAGCGUCAGUAGAGGUCCAGCGGCCCGCUUUCGCCACCGGCGUUCCUUCCGAUAUCAACGCAUUUCACCGCUCCACCGGAAGUUCCGGCCGCCCCUACCUCCCUCCAGGCCCCCCGUUUCCGAGGCCCUUUUCCGGUUAAGCCGAAAGCUUUCACCCCGGACAAGGGGGCCCGCCUACGCGCCCUUUAAGCCCAGUGAUUCCGAACAACGUUCGCACGGUUCGUCUUACCGCGGCGGCUGGCAC
rnacentral:rRNA from 3 species